GGGAAGGCAAGACCGCGAGGUGGAGCAAAUCCCUAAAAGCCAUCCCAGUUCGGAUUGCAGGCUGCAACCCGCCUGUAUGAAGUUGGAAUCGCUAGUAAUCGCGGAUCAGCAUGCCGCGGUGAAUACGUUCCCGGGCCUUGUACACACCGCCCGUCACACCAUGAGAGUCGGGAACACCCGAAGUCCGUAGCCUAACCGCAAGGGGGGCGCGGCCGAAGGUGGGUUCGAUAAUUGGGGUGAAGUCGUAACAAGGUAAC
rnacentral:rRNA from 1 species